GCCAGUCAGAAUGUUUUAUGUUUUCAAGAAUAUAUGUGUGUAUAGUGGAUGCAGUGAGAGUAUUUGAUUAGUGAAUGCAGUGUGUAUGUUUGUGUAGUGUAUGUAUAGUGGACGCAAUGUGUGUGUUUGUGUAAUGUGUAUAUAGUGAAUGCAGAGUGUGUGUGUAGUGUAUGUUUGUGUAAUGUGUAUAUAAUGAAUGCAGUGUGUGUAGUGAAUGCAGUGUGUGUAGAGUGGGUAUAUAAUGAAUGCCGUGUGUGUGUGUAGCGUGUAAAAUGGGGGAAAGGGGCAUUUAAAAAUUUUUUAUAAAUAUUUAAUUUAAAAAAAUUUAUGUUUUAGUUCCCCCUCCCUGUGUCUUACCUGGCCAGGGAGGGGGGAGUACAGCAUUCCCUGGUGGUCCGGUGGCAUGGACUGUGCACAGGGAGGGCUCAGCACACUCUUACUUACCUUCCCAGCAGCUCCCCUGUGUAACUCACGUGGAGUGUUGCCACGUUAACCUGUGGCAAUGCUCUGAUGGCUGCGGGACUCGCGAGAGUUAGACAGGGGAGGUAUCAUCAGUACCCUGAUCUGCAUUACCGGCAAUAUCGGUAUCAUUAUUGGCAGAUACCGAUAAAUCGGUCGAUCCCUAAUACCUGGGACCUUUACAUUAUCGAGCUAUGCAGCGGUUAAAAACAUUUUAUCUCCACCGGUCCACUUCCUACGACCAGUUGAUUUGCCUUAUGGACAAAGUCCAUAUAGAACUUCACUGGUGGCUUCACAACAUAGAAGCCUGGAAUAGCAAAGCCAUUUUCGGUUCGCAGCCAGACUUCAUUCUGGAAUCUGAUGCCAGCUUGCUGGGAUGGAGUGCAACGUGCUUAGAGAGGGCCACUGGAGGAAAAUGGUCUCCGACGGAACAGGCCCUACAAAUCAACUGUCUCAAACUGAUCGCAAAAUCCUUUGCAAUACGCAGUUUUAUAAAAGAUUUCUUCAAUUGCUCCUUAGUAUUACGCAUGGACAAUGUUUCCGCAGUGCGUUAUGUGAAUCGAUUGGGAGGAUCCCGAUCCAAACUACUGUCUGAUCUUACGAAAGAUCUCUACCACUUUUGCCUAGAGAGAAAUCUGUCCACCUGGCGGAUUAUCUUCCAAGCCCCGACAACCUAGUUGCUGACUGGUUCUCCCAACAUUGGAGGGACGUCAGCGACUGGCAAUUGGACCCACUAUUGUUUAAUCACAUUUAUUUCCUUCGAGGUCCUCUCACGCUGGACCUUUUCGAGUCUCGGUUGAACCGCCAGACGGAGGCAUACUUCAGCUGGCUUCCAAACCCCCAAUCUCUAGCAGCCGAUGAAUUGUUACACCCUUGGCGAAAGACAGGAGCUUAUGCAUUACCGCCCUUUUCCAUGAUCCAACGUACCCUUUAUCAGGUCAAAGCUCUAGUAGUCACGAGUCACUGUAACUUCCUUAUGGAGAGCCUAAACUUGGUUCCCUACUCUUCUGCAACUAUCAGUGAAUUACCCACUUCUUUUGCCCAAACAUCCUCAGGCACCCAGCAGCGGACUGUCAUCCACUUGCUCUUCAAGAACGUCUCCAGCUUGCAGCUUGGACCGUUUCAGUGGAUCUUGGAAUGUCUCAGGACUUUGAGACAGCUCAAGCUCUACUAUGGGAUUCACUAGACGUGCCUGUAUCUCUGCAUGGCAGACAUGGAUCCCUUUUCAGCACCUCUUACAACCAUUCUAAACUUCCUAUCUACCCUCUUUGAUCAGGGCAAAUCCUAUAGAUCGAUUAAUGUUUCAUUCUGCUAUCUCUGCAGCUCAUAAUUCCAUUGAUAAC
rnacentral:lncRNA from 1 species